GAUGAACGCUGGCGGCGUGCCUAAUACAUGCAAGUCGAGCGAACGGACGAGAAGCUUGCUUCUCUUAUGUUAGCGGCGGACGGGUGAGUAACACGUGGAUAACCUACCUAUAAGACUGGGAUAACUUCGGGAAACCGGAGCUAAUACCGGAUAAUAUUUUGAACCGCAUGGUUCAAAAGUGAAAGACGGUCUUGCUGUCACUUAUAGAUGGAUCCGCGCUGCAUUAGCUAGUUGGUAAGGUAACGGCUUACCAAGGCAACGAUGCAUAGCCGACCUGAGAGGGUGAUCGGCCACACUGGAACUGAGACACGGUCCAGACUCCUACGGGAGGCAGCAGUAGGGAAUCUUCCGCAAUGGGCGAAGGCCUGACGGAGCAACGCCGCGUGAGUGAUGAAGGUCUUCGGAUCGUAAAACUCCGUUAUUAGGGAAGAACAUAUGUGUAAGUAACUGUGCACAUCUUGACGGUACCUAAUCAGAAAGCCACGGCUAACUACGCG
rnacentral:rRNA from 1 species